rnacentral:rRNA from 1 species
UGGGACUAAUUAAGCCUAAAGGCGCAAUGAAAGUGAAGGUCGUCCUUAGCGUCGACAUAGGGAGGAUGACUCGCGUAGAGAUAUGCGAGUCCGCACUCCCGGGGCGUCUCGUGCUCAUUGCCAGCAGAGGCGCACCCAGAGCGCACACGUUGGGACCCCAAAGAUGGGGAACUUAUCCUGGGCAAGAACAAAUUCAGGGAAAAUCCUGUUGGAGUUCCGAACCGAUUCUGACGUGCAAAUCGAUCGUCGGAU